UACGUAGGCAGCGAGCGUUGUUCGGAGUUACUGGGCGUAAAGCGUGCGUAGGCGGUGCUCCAAGUCUGUUGUGAAAUCUCCCGGCUUAACCGGGAGGGUGCGGCGGAAACUGGGGUGCUGGAGUGCGGGAGAGGUAAGCGGAAUUCCCGGUGUAGCGGUGAAAUGCGCAGAUAUCAGGAGGAACACCGGUGGCGAAGGCGGUUCUCUGGGCAUGUCCUGACGCUGAGGAGCGAAAGUGUGGGGAGCGAACAGG
rnacentral:rRNA from 1 species